GACGAACGCUGGCGGCGUGCUUAACACAUGCAAGUCGAACGAUGAAGCCGGAGCUUGCUCUGGUGAAUUAGUGGCGAACGGGUGAGUAACACGUGAGUAACCUGCCCUUGACUCUGGGAUAACUGCGGGAAACUUUAGCUAAUACCGGAUACGACCCUCGGAGGCAUCUCCUGGGGGUGGAAAGAAUUUCGGUCAAGGAUGGACUCGCGGCCUAUCAGCUAGUUGGUGAGGUAAAGGCUCACCAGGGCGACGACGGGUAGCCGGCCUGAGAGGGUGACCGGCCACACUGGGACUGAGACACGGCCCAGACUCCUACGGGAGGCAGCAGUGGGGAAUAUUGCACAAUGGGCGCAAGCCUGAUGCAGCAACGCCGCGUGAGGGAUGACGGCCUUCGGGUUGUAAACCUCUUUUAGCAGGGAAGAAGCGAAAGUGACGGUACCUGCAGAAAAAGCACCGGCUAACUACGUGCCAGCAGCCGCCGUAA
rnacentral:rRNA from 1 species